AGCCCUGUAGUAUAGUUGGUCAAGUAUUCGGGACUCUGGCUCCCGAGACCCAGGUUCGAAUCCUGGCGGGGCUA
rnacentral:tRNA from 1 species